rnacentral:lncRNA from 1 species
AAAAGAAAGACUGUUUCCUAAAGAAUUAUGAUGUCUGAUAUAUGGGUUUGGGGAUUAUCAGAACCCUUACACUGAGCCAAUGGAUAUUCCUGAAGAUCUUUUUAUAGAGUUCAUCAAUGAAAUUAUGAACUUCCAACGCCAGUUAGAAGAUCAGAUCAAGUACAAGUUGAUGAUACUGUCUUCUUAAUUAGAAAGGACCCAAGAAAGUUUGCUAGAGUUAAAAGACUUGGUUACUAUGAAUGAAUAAUUGAAAUGAGCUAGAAAAGCAUCUGACAGAGUCAACUAU